GCAGCAAUGGCUGAGUGGUUAGGGUGUUGGACUUAAAAUCCCGUGGGGUUUCCCUGCACAGGUUCAAAUCCUGCUUGCUGCG